UAUUCCAGGUGAUCCUUAUGAUCAGGAAGAUUGGGGAGACACCAGUGCCCUAUUUAUAGAUUUGUCUGCAGAGUGGAAUCACCGAGGAAACUUCAAAAAUUAGCAACUCUUCUGUCCCACCCAAGACUGUGAUUUGAUUGAUUGUGCUGCUCUGUGCCCUAGGGAUUGGAUACUUAAAGAUUCUCCCCGUGAUUCCAGUGGACAAAUGAGUUGGGGAAAUACUUCACUUUGUUACCGGGAUGUGGCACACAAGGAAGGCGUCACAAAGCCAAUGCCAUCCAAGGACUUCCCAGCUCGAAUCCAUCAAAAACCUACCAGACUCAUGAACUAGAACCAAUCUCAAAGUGUGUGGACAUUUCUAAGGGGCAUACAUAAGCUUAGUAUAUAUCAGAUGUUUAACAGCUGUGCAGAGGAGAAAUCGGCUAUAAUGAGGGGCCUUGAGAUCCUCGUUGGAAGAAGUUUCCAAGUUGCUUGCCAACUUCUUGGUGUCCGAAGUACAGGCAUUCUGAUGCCUCAAACUUAAGACAUCCGAACUGAGGAGGAUGAACUGCGGAGAACAGUUGCUUAACCUACCCUGGGAGACUUGAAUGAGGUGGGAUCUGGACGCUGUGGCCCAUGCAUGGCGGUUAAAUCGUGACCUUAAGCUUUUAUGAUUUCUUCUCUGAGAGGAUCAGGGUAUUUUGGGGCCAAAUAAAAAAACACACAGAAAAAUUCCAACAAACUUGUCUCAGUUCUCACUUCUUCAAAAGAAGAGAGGGAGCAGGGGUUGCUGGCGCAGGGAAGGGACAGACGAUCAGGGAGAAAUGGCUGGUGGGUCUGGAGAGCGAAGGAGAGAGAUAAUUGUGUUGAGUGCUUACCACGCAAGCACAUCCUUGAUGCACAUUAUCUCAUUUACUCAUUACUGCAAAGGUCUGUCUGACUCCCUGGCUCAUAGCCUUCCGUGCACAUGAGGCUGCACUAUUUUUCAAAGAUAUGAGAUUAAUGAGACAAUAAUGUUGGUAAAGUGUUUCAAUUUCCUUUGAGAAAAAAAAAAGCCAUAAAAUUUUAUUGUUAUUGUUACUCUUAUUAUUGACGCUCAAUGAGUGCUUUAGGGAUGCCCUGAUAUAACUAAUAUUACUCUCAUUUAUUUCCGUUAGUGAAAUAAAGUCUAAAGACCAGAAUGAGCAUAUUUAUUGGGCUUUAGAUUUAUCCAGUUAUCUAGUUCAAUUGCAAAUUUUUGCAGAUCUACGAACUCGAGGACUAACUCUACAGCCAAGGUCAUGGCACUGUAAUCCAGGGGAUCCACCUUCGAAUGCUGGGUUCUCCCAAAGAGUGGGAGAGGGGUGGAUGAAGAGGGAGGCCUGACACAGGGAGCCUUCUCAGUCUAUAAUUGUUAGGAAAAGAAUGUAGCCGCAAUUCCUCUACUUGUUUGUGGAAGUAGAAAUGGAAUCAGUUCAGAUAAUUUGCUUCUCCAAGGGCAGACAUUUUUUUCUCUUUUCUGUGAAAGAGAGUUAAUUGUGUUAAUUAUGAAACACAAAAUUAUGUAAAGGACAGAAAGCCAUUGUAAAGGGACAUGGAGUUAUGCACAUGUUCAAGCACAAACAAGAACCCUGGCAUGACUUAUUUUAAUUUUUCCGUUUUUACACGUCUCUAUAUUGGGAAAUAAUUCUGAUUCCUUCCCAAACUGCAUUUAUGCUCAAUAAUCAGCAGCUGGAACUGUAAUUUGAGAAUAAAAGAAUGAGAAUUUGGCCUGCAUUUUUAAUAUGGCCAUUAUGUUUCAUUUUCAUUUGCCUAAAUUGGACUUUAUUACAUUCAGAUUUUCUUCAAUGUGCUCUACAUUUUUUAUUUAUUUAGUAGAAUUCUGCCCUUUAUUUAGUCCCAUGUCCUUACUGGCCCUUAAGCAGAAAAGAUUGUCUGUAUGAUCAUCUUCGUGUUUGUAGGGAAGAAAACCGAGUUCCUGAGAAAUCAAGUGUCUCAGUCAAGGCCCCUCGAUCAGUCGGCAGGGCCGAGGUUUAAUCCAGGUCCCCUUCCAGCAGCAUCCCCACAGCAUUGACUUUACACUUGGAUAGAGAACCCUUCGCAUUUAUUUUACCUUGAGUUUCUCUAAUCUUUUUCCUAAAUGAACAGAGCAAAAAGGAGAGAGAAGCUCUCUGCUGGCCUUCACCAGGACAGGGCAGGUGGAAAGCGCCCCGUGGCCUUGGCUGUUCUUUGUGGCCCUGUGUGGGCUCCUGAUGUGGAAGAGCACAUCUCAGCCUCGGCAUAGCGUUGAGGCCGCUGACUGUGACGAUUAGGUGGCCUGACUUAUGUCUGGGGGUAACAAAUCAUGGAUUAAUGCAAAAUGUGCAAGAGCAAAUUAUUUCUUCAUUGUAAUCCAUAAGGCAUGUUUCUACCCCCUCCCUCCAAAGUUCUUACUUUUCUUUCUCAAGUUUGCUCCAGGAAGUGUCCAGAACUAAGAACUGGAAGAAAAGAAGGAGGAGAGAUACAAGAAGUGGCCAGGAGAAAGGGAAAUGGCAAAUGGCUUCACACAUGUACGGAAACCCUGUUGGUAUCUCGGUCUACAAAUAAAUUCAUUGUCUUGAA